GACGAACGCUGGCGGCGUGCUUAACACAUGCAAGUCGAACGGAAAGGCCUCUUUCGGGGGGUACUCGAGUGGCGAACGGGUGAGUAACACGUGGGUAACCUGCCCUUGACUUUGGGAUAACUUCAGGAAACUGGGGCUAAUACCGGAUAGGAGCUCCUGCUGCAUGGUGGGGGUUGGAAAGUUUCGGCGGUUGGGGAUGGACUCGCGGCUUAUCAGCUUGUUGGUGGGGUAGUGGCUUACCAAGGCUUUGACGGGUAGCCGGCCUGAGAGGGUGACCGGCCACAUUGGGACUGAGAUACGGCCCAGACGCCUACGGGAGGCAGCAGUGGGGAAUAUUGCACAAUGGGUGGAAGCCUGAUGCAGCAACGCCGUGUGCGGGAUGACGGCCUUCGGGUUGUAAACCGCUUUCGCUCAUGACGAAGCUUUGUGUGACGGUAGUGGGUAAAGAAGCACCGGCUAACUACGUG
rnacentral:rRNA from 1 species